rnacentral:rRNA from 1 species
ACGCUCGACACCUACGGGAGUCAGCAGUGGGGAAUAUUGCACAAUGGAGGAAACUCUGAUGCAGCGAUGCCGCGUGAGGGAAGAAGGUUUUCGGAUUGUAAACCUCUGUCUUUGGGGACGAUAAUGACGGUACCCAAGGAGGAAGCUCCGGCUAACUACGUGCCGGCUGCCGCGGUAAUCUGAGCGGGCUGGCAAGGC